rnacentral:lncRNA from 1 species
CUUCCCGCCGGGUUGGGGGCUCAACCCCCUGCACGUGCUAGGGCGCCACGCAUAUCUCCGGAGCCUAAGACGCAGGAUCGCUAAUGUGCCCAGUCUCCAGUCCCCAGACUUUCCGCCUGGACCCCAGGGAGACCCCGAAGGACGGACUGUGAUGGGAAGAAGGAGGAUUUGAAAAUCCGAGCAUCUGAAUUCGGAGGUUCUGGCCGAGGAUAGAAGCCUCUGUUUCCGCAUCCGAGAAAUGGCAAUGUCUACACAGCCAUCCUAGGGUUGCACAGCGGCCACCACUGGCACCGACUGAUGUCAGCCCCUUUUCCCUCGAGGACGGCGGUGAGGCCAGAGUCCCCAGAUUUAGUGAGUGCUGCUCGCUGGGCUCGGACUCACGCUGGGUGAGAGCGGAGAGCCGGGAAGGGACCGGCGCGCGACCCGGACCCGCACGCAGGUCCUAGGUUCGCGGGUGGCCAGCAGAGCACCGACGAGGCGUCCUCACUGUUCUGAGCUCCUGCUGUGUCUUAGGGACAUACUCAAGUCACAUGACAAUUCUGUGAGGGUUUUGCAGAUGAAGAACCGGGCACUCGGUGUCCCAGCCCUCAGGAAUCUCCGGGUCCGGGGAUAGGGUGGGCGGACAAACCUGUACCAGUGCGGGCGGCUUGAAACCGGAGAUCCGGGUGGGGGUGCGGGGCAGGGGAAGACAACAGGACACCUGCUCUCUUCUUUUUCCUUACGGACUCAGAAUUCUUAGGAAAAAAUGUGCUUUUGUGUUGGAGGAGGGUGAGGUGGGGAGGUGGUAGGUGGGGCAGGAGGAAAAUAGCUCAGGCACUGACAGCAGAAUCCAGAUUAUAGAGUUUAAGAAGUUCAAACUCAGGCGCUUGGGUGGCUCAGUCCGUUAAGCAUCUGCUCCUGGCUCUGGCUUUUGGCUCGGGUCAUGAUCUCACUGUUGGUGGGAUAGAGCUCUGUGCUGUCAAUGCAGAGCCUGCUUGGGAUUGUCUCUCUUCCUUCCUCGCUGCCCCUCCCCCUUCUCUCACAAUAAAUAAAUAUAAACAUUAAAAAAAAUUCAAACUCCUCCUGCUCCUGCCCUCCUAGCUCACCUUGCCCCUUCCCUGCUGCCUGGGACCGGCUGUUUUUCUCAGCACCUUCAGACACACAGAAUCCCCUGUGCAAAUCAGACCCCAGUCGGAGAGGCAAGAAGGAUGCCACCCACCUCUGAUGGGAGCACCCCUCACCCCUGUUUCCUCUCCACCCCACCUCUUUUUCCCUCUUUCACCCUCCUCUUUCUUUUUAGUUAUUUAUUUUGAACUUUUUUUGAUAAGCAUGUUUUUCUGGAAUACAGUUUGGCACCAUGACACCUCAAACUGUAUUCUUUGUCUGUCUUGUCUAGAAGUAAUCCAGAGGAGAUGUGAACAGUGACACUUGAAGCGACAGGAAUCUAUGAUAUAUUAGGUUUGCUUUGGAUGUUUGUUAACUGGAUGGGUAGGUAGGUGUGUGGAUAAGGGCAUGAAUGAAUUCACACUAAAAGGAAAAAAACUUCAGGAGCACCUGGGUGGCUCAGUCGGCUAAGUGUCCACUUCGGUUCAGGUUGUGAUUUUGUGGUUUGUGAGUUUGAGCCCCUCUUCGGAGUACUGAUAGCUCAGAGCCUGGAGCCUGCUUCUGAUUCUGUGCCUCCCUCUCUCUCUCUGUCCCUUCCCACCCCCCUCAAAAAUAAAUAUUAAAAAGAGAUUUUUUUUNNNNNCCUGGGUGGCUCAGUCGGCUAAGUGUCCACUUCGGUUCAGGUUGUGAUUUUGUGGUUUGUGAGUUUGAGCCCCUCUUCGGAGUACUGAUAGCUCAGAGCCUGACGCGGGGCUCGAACUCACGGACCGCGAGAUCGUGACCUGGCUGAAGUCGGACGCUUAACCGACUGCGCCACCCAGGCGCCCCAAAAAGAGAUUUUUUUAAAAGGAAAAAAAUUUCAGCCCAACAGGUGUUCUGUUACAUAGUACAAAGGAAAGAAGGGUAGUUAUCCUGUGUUUUAAUUUAUGUAGUCAAAUAACGUGAAUAAUUGAGGCUACAAGUGGAAUGUUUGGGGUCUGAGCUAUCUAGAUGAAUCCUAAACAUAGGCUAAGUAAUCUGCUAUAUGGUAACUGUCAACUAAGCCCUGUAGUUUGUGCUGUAUAGAUAAUAAUAAUAAAAAAAACCCACAUCUGUUCAAUUGGCAACCUUCCUAGUUUGAGUGUUGGGCACCAUUUGACUCCAAAGUUUAGAAAAAUGACAGUUCCCAUUUUAUUUGGGUGUUUUGGCAUUGUUUAGUCACAGCCAGCCGGAAUCCUCCUACAUGUUGACCUGAGGGCUCUUUCUAGUUUCUAGACCUCUACCUGCAGUGGCCACCUCUCCCCUCUGCACACAGGAGCUCAUUGGCACCACGGAAUCAGAAGCAAACGGCAUCUACGCUGGGAACAAGGCUCCUAGAGACUGUCCUCCCUGCCAGUGCCUUGCUCUGGCCUCCCCUGGAUGCCAGUGACUCCCCUGUCCAAGUCACUGAGUUCAGUAGAUGCUUCUAGGCUUUGGUAAACCCGGCUGUUGAUAACUGUCAGAUCCCUACAAUCUCCAGAUUGACAGAACCUGUUGUUCCAGCCAAUCCCUUUCCCGGCCCUCUGGGUCUUGCCUGUCUUUGCCUCCCUGACUCUCCCACUUUCCCACACUUUCAUAUAAGUCAGCAAAUCUUUGAGAACAAAUAGCCUUAUGUAAAUAGGAGGGCUAGAUUAUGAGCUGUAUUGGUUAUUUGGAAAUCUAUGCUCUGGGCCUGCUAUCUCUUGAAGUUUUUUACAAGUCUGUUUUGAAAUUUCUAGACAUACGGUUGAUUUAUAUUUGUUGUUGGCUUUUUUUGUGGUUGUUUGGCUAUCAUUUUGUUCUUCAUUUCUUAUUUUAUUGCACUGUGGUGAGUGAAGAUGGUCUGAUUAGUAUUUUUGGGUGGGGGGAUGUGUUAAUAUUUCCUUUGCAGCUGAGCCUAUGGUCAACUGUGUGAAUGUGUAUUCUUCUCUUAAAAUGCAUGGGUCACCUGGGUGGCUCAGCUGGCCAAGUGUCCAACUUCAGCUCAGGUCAUGAUUUCAUAGUUCGUAAGUUCGAACCCCACAUCAGGCUUGCUGCUGUCAGGCUGUCAGACAGUGCAGAGCCCGCUUCAGAUCCUCUGUCCCCUCUCUCUGCCCCUCUCCUGAUUGUGCUUUCCCAAUAAAUAAAUAAAUAAAUAUUAACAAGAAAUACAGUUUCAGGGGUGCCUGGGUGGUGCAGUCAGUUAAGCAUCUGACUCUUGAUUUCUGCUCUGGUCGUGAUCUCGUGGUUUGGGAGUUUGAGCCCCGUAUCAGGCUCUGUGCUAGUGGCGCUGAGCCUGGUUGGGAUUCUGCCUCUCCUCUCUGUCCCUCCCCAACUUUUGCGCGCGCGCUCUCUCUCUCAAAAUAAGUACACAAAAACUUUUUAAAAAUGCAGUUCUGAAUGUUUCUAUUAGAUCAACCUACUGUGUUACCCAAAUAGUCAUUAUCCUUAUUUUUAAAAACUGAACUGCUUAAUAUUUUGGUUUCUUAGAGAAGCACACUGAAGUCUCCAGGGUAGUUUUUGGUCAGUUUCUCCUUGUACUUUCAGCAGAUUUUACUUUACACAUUUUGAAUCUAUGUUGUUAGAUGUAAAGAGCUUUAAGACUAUUUUACCUUUUUGUUGUAGUGUUUGUCAAUAUGAACUAUUUCCUCUUAGUUUUCUUUCACUUUGACUUCAACUUUAUUAUGUGAAUAUUAAUCGAUAUGUUAUUAAUAUUGCUAUAUCUUGAUAUGUUUGUAUAUUUUCCAGGUAUUAUAAGUGGAUCAAAAAGAAGCCACAGGGCCUCUGGCUGGCCCAGUCAGUAGAGCAUGCGACUCUUGAUUUCGGGGUUGUGAGUUUGAGCCCCACGAUGGGUGGAGAGAUUACUUUAAAAAAAAAAAAAGAUGCCAGAGUAACUCCUUCGCUUCUCAAAUCCAUACCCCUUGCAGUGUGACUUUGCAACUCCUCCCAUCAAAGGUGAGUGUGUUUUCUCACCCAUGGCACAUAGCUGGAGUUUAAAAAUCUCAUCUAGGGGCACUUGGGUGGCUCAGUUAAACAUCUGACUCUUGAUUUCGGCUCAGGUCAUGAUCUCAUGGUUUGUGGGAUUGAGCCCUGCGUCAGGCUCCAUGCUGACAAUGCAGAGCCUGCUUGGGAUUCUCUCUUUCCUCUCUCUCUGCCCUUCCCAUGCAUGCACUCUCUCUCUCAAAAUAAAUUAAUUAAUUAAAAAAAAAAUCUCCAGACUGAGAGCCUCUGUUAUUUAAUAGGUAGUCAACUCUUUCAUAUUUGUGUAAUUAUUGCUAUGUUUGUAUGUACUCCUGCCAUCUUAUUUUGGGUUUUCUAAUUGCCAUGCUGUGUUAAGUUUCCUAUUGCUGCUAAAACAAGUUACUACAAACUUAGAGGGGCUUACAAUGACACACAUUUAUUAUCUUACAGUUCUGUACAUGAGAAGUCUGAAUGGGUCUUGUGGGCUAAAAUUAAAAUAUUGUCAGAGCUGCAUUUUUUUCCUGGGGACUAGAGGAGAGAAUCUGUGUUCCUUUUCUUUCCCAGCUCCUAGAAGCCACCUGUGUUUCUAGGCUCAAGGCCCUUCCUCCAUCGCUAAAGGACAUCACUCAACCCUCUGCUCUCCUUGUCACAUCUCUCUCCCUGUGCUGCUCCCGCCUCCCUCUUUCCCUUAUAAGAACCUUUGUGAUUACAUUAGACCCACUCAGAUAACCCAGGAUAGUCCCUCCAUCUCUAACCUCUUAAUAUAAUCACAUCUGCAAAAGUAUCUUUCAUCAUGCAAGGUGACAUAAUCACAAAUUCUGGGGAUUAGGACGUGGAGGUCUUUGGUGGGGGGGUGGAUGGGAGCGUGGGGCAUUAUUCUGUCUACAUACAUUCCUUUUCUUUGUGUUCUCUUUUCUUUUCUUUCUUUCCUAGUUUAUCAGGAUGCUUGUGGCUGCGAGUAACAGACACCCCAGUUAAACAGUGGCUUAACCAACAGAGAGUUAAAGAAAGGCUCAGGUAACUGGAUACCCAGCGGGAGAAUGAGCCUGUGACUAGUGGUGUCAUCAUGGACCCUGAUUCUUUCCAUCCCUCAGAUCUGCUAUCUGCAGCAACAGCUUCAUCCCAAGGCUGCUUCCUUGAGGGGUCAAGGGAUGUAAAGUAUCCAUAAUUUUUCCUUUAGACCAGGGGUUCUCUACCUUGGCAUCAUGGACAUUUUGGGCUGAAUAAUUGUUGCAGAGGGCUGUCCUUUGCACUGUAGGUUGUUCAACACUUCCAUGGCUUCUCUCUACUACAUGCCAGAGCUCUUCUCCAUUGGGACAACCAAAAAUUUCUCUAGACAUUGCAAAAAGUCUCAGGGUGGGGAGGCAGGCAAAAUUGCCUGCAGCUGAGAACCAGGUGUGUUUACUGGUGAUCUAAAGCUCACAUGUCCACACCUGAACCAAUUAUUGGGGCAGAGGGAGUAGAUACUCUGAUUUAGUUAAUUAAGAUUUGUACUUGAAGCUGGAGAUGGAGUAGGCAGCCCCCAGAGUCUGUGGCCAUGGGGGAGGGGUGGGAUCCUCACACAAAACUCUGGCUCUUAAGUGGAAAGUAGUAAAUGAUGCUUGGGAGAUAGCUAGUCAUGUCUAUGAAUCUGGCUUUUGAUUAUGUUUUCUUGGAUCCAUUUCUCCUUCUACAUUCUAUUCCUAUGUAUCUAUGGGUUAUUCUUUAAAGAUAUGCACUGAUUUAAAUUUGUAGAUUUCUAAUUAUGUGUAUUUUUUUUAAGCUUAUUUUUUUUUGAGAGAGAGAGCAGAGGUGAGGCAGAGAGAGGGGGGGAGAGAGAAUCCCAAGCAGGCUCCACGCUGUCAGCAAGGAACCUGAAGCAGGGCUUGAACUCAUGAACUGUGAGAUCAUGACCUGAGCCAAAGUUGGGCACUUAACCGACUGAGCCACUCAGGUGCCCCAAUAAUAUGUAUUGUUAAACAGCAUCUAUAUCUACCCCUAGAACCUAAGACAAGAACAAAGGAAUCUGGGCAAGUUUUAACUUCCUUCUGGAAUUCCCUACUGGCAACUUCUUUGUUGAUUUUGUUUAGAUCAUUAUUUAAAAAUUUUAUACAGGCAAUACUUAGAUGUCUUAAUUUUUUCCUAAUGUAUUAACUUGCUAUUAUUUCUUAUAUUCCAUACAUUUUGGGGGGAAUUAUUCUUUGUGUAUUUGUGUGUGUGUGUGUGUGUCAUUCUUCAGAUCUGGGAAAUUCUUGUGGUUUCUUUUUUAAUUUCUUUUUAACAUUUAUUCAUUUUUGAGAGUGAGAGAGACAGAGCAUGAGUGGGGGAGGAGCAGAG